rnacentral:rRNA from 1 species
UACGUAGGGGGCAAGCGUUGUCCGGAAUCAUUGGGCGUAAAGAGCGUGUAGGCGGCCCGGUAAGUCCGCUGUGAAAGUCCAGGGCUCAACCCUGGGAUGCCGGUGGAUACUGUCGGGCUCGAGUCCGGAAGAGGAGUGUGGAAUUCCUGGUGUAGCGGUGAAAUGCGCAGAUAUCAGGAGGAACACCGGUGGCGAAGGCGGAUCUCUGGGCCGCAACUGACGCUGAGGAGCGAAAGCGUGGGGAGCGAACAGG